UUUUGGUGCAGUAAAGAGGGGCAACGAAAACCUCACUGAGGUUCUUCGAGAGAUAUGACUCAACCGAAGAAGUGUGGCAGCUUGGGUUUCUAGGACAUCAAAUUGUUCAACAUAGCUUUGUUACCUCGGCACUUAUGGUGCCUCCUUACAGUAGCCGACUCUCUUUGUGCCCGUCACCUUAAAUCUCUCUAUUACCCACACAAUGAUAUUCUCAAUGUCGAGCCAAGAUCACAUCCGUCUCAAGUAUGGAGAUCAAUCUUGAAGGGAAGAGAUGCACUCUCACAUGGCAUCAUAAGGCGCAUUGGGACUGGUGCAAAUACCCGAGUUUGGGCUGAGAAUUGGAUCCCGAGAGAAUCGUCGAUGAGGUCGGUAGCUUGUCUGGCCAGCAAUCCUCCAACUCUCGUCAGCGAGUUGAUUUACAGUACCUCGGUAGUACGGAGAGAUGAUAAGUUGCAACAUUUUUUUCUCCCCUCAGCCAGGGAUAAUUUGCUACGUCAGAGAGGGGUGGCUUCUAAUGGUGCGAGAAAAGAGAGGUGCUGGACAUCCCUAUGGAACACCAAAGUUGCUGGCAAGAUCAAGACUUUUCUUUGGAGAUUGGCAAGGCAUUCGUUGCCAUCGGAGGCUGUGAGACAUCAUUGUAUUAUGUGCAACACAGAUUCUUGCCUGCUGUGUGGAGGCACCGAUUCAUGGAGGCACUCACUAGUUGACGGUACGACUUGGAGGUGUGUUUGGGCUCUAGGUGAUGAAGAUUUAACUGACCAUAUCAUUGAGACUCACGAAUCCAAUGCGAAAAACUGGCUUUUUAACAUGAUGGAUUCAUUAUCUCAUCUGGACUUUGUGAUCUGGACUGUGCACAGAAAAGCUAUUCAUUAUCGCAUCAUGAGUCAAUUUUUCAAAGCCCAUUGUUAA
rnacentral:rRNA from 1 species